UGUUUGUGUGUGUGUGUGUGUGUGUGUGUGUGUGUGUGUGUGUGUGUGUGUGUGCUCAGGACAGAAAUGCCCAUUCAGCAGUUAAAAAGGGAUCAUUGCAGGGUUUAGCUCCCGCCCCUCGCUCUCCAUCCUCCCCACUUCCCCCGUCUCUCCAUCUUUUUUAUUUCACGCCCCAUAUCUCCACUGCAUCCAUCU